AUCUUACUCUCUCCGAUUCUAAAUUGUUGUCUAAAUAUUACAUGUAUCUAGACACCUUUUAAGAAUAGAUACAUCCAUAUUUGGACAAAUAUGAGACAAGAAUUUAGGAUCGGAGGGAGUAUUUU
rnacentral:pre_miRNA from 1 species